GACGAACGCUGGCGGCGUGCUUAACACAUGCAAGUCGUACGGUAACGCCCUGUCGGGGGUACACGAGUGGCGUACGGGUGGGUAACACGCGAGUAAGCUGCCCACAACUUUGGGAUAACGCUAGUAAACUCGUGCUAAUCCUGGAUAUGAGCCCCUGCUGCACGGUGGGGGUGGGAAAGCUCCGGCGGUUGUGGAUGGACUCGCGGCCCAUCAGCUUGUUGGUGGGGUAGUGGCCUACCAAGGCGGCGACGGGUAGCCGGCCUGAGAGGGUGACCGGCCACAUUGGGACUGAGAUACGGCCCAGACUCCGACUGGAGGCAGCAGUAGCAAAGAGUGCAAAAUGGGCGCAAGCCUGAUGCAGCAACGCCGCGUGCGGGAUGACGGCCUUGGGGUUGUAAACCGCUUUCAGCAGGGACGAAGCUUUUUGUGACGGUACCUGCAGAAGAAGCACCGGCUAACUACGUG
rnacentral:rRNA from 1 species